GCCAGGCCUGGUGGUGCAGGCCUGUAGUCCCAGCUACUUGGGAGGCUGAGACAGGAGAAUUGCUUGAACCUGGGAGGUGGAGGUUGCAGUAAGCUGAGAUCACGCUACUGCACUCCAGCCUGGGUGACAGAGCAAGACACUGUCUCAC
rnacentral:SRP_RNA from 1 species